CCUACGGGGGGCAGCAGUGGGGAAUAUUGCACAAUGGGGGAAACCCUGAUGCAGCGACGCCGCGUGGGUGACGAAGUAUUUCGGUAUGUAAAGCCCUAUCAGCAGGGAAGAAGAUGACAGUACCUGACCAAGAAGCCCCGGCUAACUACGUGCCAGCAGCCGCGGUAAUACGUAGGGGGCAAGCGUUAUCCGGAUUUACUGGGUGUAAAGGGAGCGUAGGUGGCAUGGCAAGCCAGAAGUGAAAACCCGGGGCUUAACCCCGCGGAUUGCUUUUGGAACUGUCAGGCUGGAGUGCAGGAGGGGCAGGCGGAAUUCCUGGUGUAGCGGUGAAAUGCGUAGAUAUCAGGAGGAACACCGGUGGCGAAGGCGGCCUGCUGGACUGUAACUGACACUGAGGCUCGAAAGCGUGGGGAGCAAACAGGAUUAGAUACCCCAGUAGUC
rnacentral:rRNA from 1 species